rnacentral:rRNA from 1 species
AGUAACGCGUGGGCAACCUGCCCCAUAGAGGGGGACGAACAGCUGGAAACGGCUGCUAAUACCGCAUAACAAGGAGAGAGCGCAUGUUCUUUUCUUUCAAAGAUUUAUCGCUAUGGGAUGGACCCGCGUCUGAUUAGCUGGUUGGUGAGGUAACGGCUCACCAAGGCGACGAUCAGUAGCCGGCUUGAGAGAGUGGACGGCCACAUUGGGACUGAGACACGGCCCAGACUCCUACGGAAGGCAGCAG